rnacentral:rRNA from 1 species
GAGUAAUGCGUGACCAACCUGCCCCAUGCUCCAGAAUAGCUCUUGGAAACGGGUGGUAAUGCUGGAUGCUCCAACUUGACGCAUGUCUUGUUGGGAAAGUGUUUAGUGGCAUGGGAUGGGGUCGCGUCCUAUCAGCUUGUAGGCGGGGUAAUGGCCCACCUAGGCUUCGACGGGUAGCCGGCCUGAGAGGGCGGACGGCCACAUUGGGACUGAGAUACGGCCCAGACUCCUACGGGAGGCAGCAGAA